rnacentral:rRNA from 1 species
GCCCAGCUGUAACAAAACAAUCAAAUAACUAAUUGUUCGCCAAAUAACUACGAGUAAAAACUUAAAAUUUAAAAGACUUGACGGUACUUCACAUCAACCUAGAGGAGCCUGUCUAAUAACCGAUAACCCACGAUUAACCCAACCCACUCUAGCCCAACAGUCUAUAUACCGCCGUCGCCAGUUUACCUUGUGAAAGAAACAAAGUAAGCCUAACAACACUACAUUAAUACACAGGUCGAGGUGUAACUAAUGAGGCGGGCAAUGAUGGGCUACAUUUUCUAACCUAGAAAAUACGAAUAGACUAUGAAACUAGAAACUGAAGGCGGAUUUAGUAGUAAGCCAAGAACAGAAUACUUAGCCGAAAUUAACGCAAUGAAGUGCGCACACACCGCCCGUCAUCCCUGUAAAUUAUAAAGACUAUUUAUAAACAAAUUAUAUAAACCCAAACAGGGCAAGUCGUAACAUGGUAAGCGUACUGGAAAGUGCGCUUAGAGACAAAAAGUAGCUUACGCUAAAGCACUCGACUUACAAUCGAACGAUAUUAAAUAUAAUCUUUUUGAGCUGAAAGCAUACAUACAAUUAUACAAACAUACAUAGACCUAUAAAACAAAACAUUUGA